GCGGAAGAGAUCUAGGGUUCCGGUCCUUCGGGACGACUGGUCCAAGAGGUUUCAGCCGGCUCGCCGGCGCACGGAGGGAUAAAAGCCCGGGAGAC
rnacentral:sRNA from 10 species